UUGCAUGCCUCCACCUUUAACCUCAGU
rnacentral:piRNA from 1 species